CCAAAGGCCCUUCUCAGGGCCGCCCAAAUUCUCUGUAAAAAGAGUU
rfam:Rattus norvegicus chromosome 17, whole genome shotgun sequence.